GGGUAUAGCUCAGUGGUAGAGUGCAUGCCUGGCAUGCAUGAAGUCCUGGGUUCAAUCCCCAUUAAGCCUC
rnacentral:tRNA from 1 species